ACCUAUAAGACUGGGAUAACUUCGGGAAACCGGAGCUAAUACCGGAUAAUAUAUUGAACCGCAUGGUUCAAUAGUGAAAGACGGUUUUGCUGUCACUUAUAGAUGGAUCCGCGCCGCAUUAGCUAGUUGGUAAGGUAACGGCUUACCAAGGCAACGAUGCGUAGCCGACCUGAGAGGGUGAUCGGCCACACUGGAACUGAGACACGGUCCAGACUCCUACGGGAGGCAGCAGUAGGGAAUCUUCCGCAAUGGGCGAAAGCCUGACGGAGCAACGCCGCGUGAGUGAUGAAGGUCUUCGGAUCGUAAAACUCUGUUAUUAGGGAAGAACAAAUGUGUAAGUAACUAUGCACGUCUUGACGGUACCUAAUCAGAAAGCCACGGCUAACUACGUGCCAGCAGCCGCGGUAAUACGUAGGUGGCAAGCGUUAUCCGGAAUUAUUGGGCGUAAAGCGCGCGUAGGCGGUUUUUUAAGUCUGAUGUGAAAGCCCACGGCUCAACCGUGGAGGGUCAUUGGAAACUGGAAAACUUGAGUGCAGAAGAGGAAAGUGGAAUUCCAUGUGUAGCGGUGAAAUGCGCAGAGAUAUGGAGGAACACCAGUGGCGAAGGCGACUUUCUGGUCUGUAACUGACGCUGAUGUGCGAAAGCGUGGGGAUCAAACAGGAUUAGAUACCCUGGUAGUCCACGCCGUAAACGAUGAGUGCUAAGUGUUAGGGGGUUUCCGCCCCUUAGUGCUGCAGCUAACGCAUUAAGCACUCCGCCUGGGGAGUACGACCGCAAGGUUGAAACUCAAAGGAAUUGACGGGGACCCGCMCAAGCGGUGGAGCAUGUGGUUUAAUUCGAAGCAACGCGAAGAACCUUACCAAAUCUUGACAUCCUCUGACCCCUCUAGAGAUAGAGUUUUCCCCUUCGGGGGACAGAGUGCCAGGUGGUGCAUGGUUGUCGUCAGCUCGUGUCGUGAGAUGUUGGGUUAAGUCCCGCAACGAGCGCAACCCUUAAGCUUAGUUGCCAUCAUUAAGUUGGGCACUUUAAGUUGACUGCCGGUGACAAACCGGAGGAAGGUGGGGAGGACGUCAAAUCAUCAUGCCCCUUAUGAUUUGGGCUACACACGUGCUACAAUGGACAAUACAAAGGGCAGGGAAACCGCGAGGUCAAGCAAAUCCCAUAAAGUUGUUCUCAGUUCGGAUUGUAGUCUGCAACUCGACUAUAUGAAGCUGGAAUCGCUAGUAAUCGUAGAUCAGCAUGUUACGGUGAAUACGUUCCCGGGUCUUGUACACACCGCCCGUCACAC
rnacentral:rRNA from 1 species